CGGAAUGACUCUAAAAUCUACUUCUAAACAGGCUUCGACUCCAAUGCUGCCGUUUCUCGGAGGUCAGGAAUCUUUCUUACCCGUCACAUCUUCAGUGGCAGCGUGUCUGCCAAAUUGCUCUGUUUUGUUUCAUCACAGCAUUCACCUCUACCUGACAUUUCCUCGGCUCCUUUGUCAUUGGCUGUCUCCCUCUGCUUACACGCCCACUGUGGAAAGCAGUGACUUGCUUGCCUUGGCUACUACCACAGCCCACAGAGUCGGACUCCUGAAAAUCAGUGAGUAAUGUGCAGGAGUAAUUGUUGAAUUGUAGAGUGGUGUAUAAUUUGUUAUUCCUUCCAACGUUUCUGAGAUGAGAUCUCAAAAUCUUAUAAUAGAGGGAAAAAUUAAUUUACAGGGCCAAGUCUCAUUGACUAAAUAAUUAAAGUUUACAUAAACUUAUAAUGUAUGAGGCCAUUUUAAUUUAAAGAAGUGGGAAUGUGGCAGCCUCUUGGCUCAUGUGAAGCAGAAACCAUUCUGCAUGAAAUGAAAACUCUUUGCGGCCAGUCACUACAUUCGUCUCCUAGCUCAAGCCUUACAGUACUCUAAGAAAGGGUAGGAUACCCUGCACCCUUCCCUCCUAUUAUUUCAUUCAUACAGAGUCUAAGAAAAAUAAGGUCAUCUCCCCAACACUGUGUGGU
rnacentral:lncRNA from 1 species